rnacentral:rRNA from 1 species
AUGGUAGGAUAGAGGCCUACCAUGGUGGUAACGGGUAACGGGGUGUUAGGGCACGACACCGGAGGGGGAGCCUGAGAAACGGCUACCACAUCCAAGGAAGGCAGCAGGCGCGCAAAUUACCCAAUCCCGACACGGGGAGGUAGUGACAAUAAAUAACAAUACAGGGCUCUUUUGGGUCUUGUAAUUGGAAUGAGUACAAUUUAAAUCUCUUAACGAGGAACAAUUGGAGGGCAAGUCUGGUGCCAGCAGCCGCGGUAAUUCCAGCUCCAAUAGCGUAUAUNAAAGUUGUUGCAGUUAAAAAGCUCGUAGUUGAAUUUCGGAAUCAAUAUGUCGGUCGUGCUUCGGUACGUACUGGUAUCAUUGGUUUCUCCUUUCUGACGAACCAUGAUGUCAUUAAUUUGGUGUUAUGGGGAGUUAGGACUGUUACUUUGAAAAAAUUAGAGUGUUUAAAGCAGGCUUUAGCUUGAAUACAUUAGCAUGGAAUAAUGAAAUAGGACGUUCGAACCUAUUUUGUUGGUUUCUAGGAUCAACGUAAUGAUUAAUAGGGAUAGUUGGGGGCAUUAGUAUUCAAUUGUCAGAGGUGAAAUUCUUGGAUUUAUUGAAGACUAACUACUGCGAAAGCAUUUGCCAAGGAUGUUUUCAUUAAUCAAGAACGAAAGUUAGGGGAUCGAAGACGAUCAGAUACCGUCGUAGUCUUAACCAUAAACUAUGCCGACUAGGGAUCGGAUGAUGUUAAUUUUUUAAUGACUCAUUCGGCGCCUUACGGGAAACCAAAGUGUUUGGG